UUCGACUCGAGCGCAGCGAGAGAACGUUGCUUCAGCAACGGCCCGCAGGGCGAGCCACGCAGUGGCGAGUCAUCCUCUAUCACCGACCA
rnacentral:sRNA from 2 species